rnacentral:rRNA from 1 species
ACCCUCACCGAAUGCGAGUCGUGCGAGACCCCGUGGCCGAGGAGACUGAUCGACCCUCGAGCGAGUCACUCCCUAGGAGCGCUUGCCACGACCGCGACCCCAGGUCAGGCGGG